GCCUGGGUGGCUCAGUCAGUUAAGCGUCUGACUUCAGCUCAGGUCAUGAUCUCCCACUCCAUGAGUUCAAGCCCCGUGUCAGGCU
rnacentral:tRNA from 1 species